GCGAGUCAUUGUAGUAAUACAAGGCAGACGGCUCACUAACGCGUAGUCAACCUAACCUAUGGACGGGAAUAACCUCGGGAAACUGAGUAUAAUGCCCGAUAGAACAUUAUGCCUGGAAUGGUUUAUGUUCCAAAUGAUUUAUCGCCGUAGGAUGGGACUGCGGCCUAUCAGUUUGUUGGUGAGGUAAUGGCCCACCAAGACUAUUACAGGUACGGGCUCUGAGAGGAGUAGCCCGGAGAUGGGUACUGAGACACGGACCCAGGCCCUAUGGGGCGCAGCAGGCGAGAAAACUUUGCAAUGUGCGAAAGCACGACAAGGUUAAUCCGAGUGGUUUCUGCUAAAGGAACCUUUUGUCGGUCCUAGAAACACCGAUGAAUAAGGGGUGGGCAAGUUCUGGUGUCAGCCGCCGCGGUAAAACCAGCACCUCAAGUGGUCAGGAUGAUUAUUGGGCCUAAAGCAUCCGUAGCCGGCUCUGU
rnacentral:rRNA from 1 species